rnacentral:rRNA from 1 species
CGGAGGGGGCAAGCGUUGUUCGGAAUUACUGGGCGUAAAGGGCGCGUAGGCGGCCUGCUAAGUCGAACGUGAAAUCCCCGGGCUCAACCCGGGAACUGCGUCCGAUACUGACAGGCUUGAAUCCGGGAGAGGGAUGUGGAAUUCCAGGUGUAGCGGUGAAAUGCGUAGAUAUCUGGAGGAACACCGGUGGCGAAGGCGGCAUCCCGGACCGGUAUUGACGCUGAUGCGCGAAAGCCAGGGGAGCAAACGGGAUUAGAUACCCCGGUAGUCCUGGCCCUAAACGAUGAAUGCUUGGUGUGGCGGGUAUCGAUCCCUGCCGUGCCGAAGCUAACGCAUUAAGCAUUCCGCCUGGGGAGUACGGUCGCAAGGCUG